UAGAUUGGGAUGAAGCAAAGUAUAUAAUCCAACACUUGAUCUGAGAUAAUUGCGUGAUUGUAAACCUACCAUUUUGCUACUGAAUCUAC